rnacentral:rRNA from 1 species
CCUACGGGUGGCAGCAGUCGAGAAUCAUUCACAAUGGCGGAAGCCCUGAUGGUGCGACGUAGCGUGGGGGAAUGAAGGCCUUUGGAUUGUAAACCUCUGUUAUGCGGGAGCAAAUUAAAAAGCUAGUACAACUAGAGGAAGAGACGGCUAACUCUGUGCCAGCAGUUGCGGUAAUACAGAAGUCUCAAGCGUUGUUCGGAUGCACUGGGCGUAAAGUGUGCGUAGGCUGGUUCGUAAGUCGUGAGUGAAAGGCGGUGGCUCAACCCGCAGACGGCAGAUGUUAGUGGGAGACUUGAGUAAUGGGAGGGGAGCCGGAAUUCGCGGUGUAGCAGUGAAAUGCGUAGAUAUCAAGAAGAACACUGGUGGCGAAGGCAGGUUCCUGGACAGUUACUGACGCUGAAGCACGAAGGCGAGGGGAGCGAAAAGGAUUAGAUACCCUAGUAGUC